UGAGGAAUAUUGGUCAAUGGGCGAGAGCCUGAACCAGCCAAGUAGCGUGCAGGAUGACGGCCCUAUGGGUUGUAAACUGCUUUUAUGUGGGGAUAAAGUGCGUGACGUUUCAUGCAUUGCAGGUACCACAUGAAUAAGGACCGGCUAAUUCCGUGCCAGCAGCCGCGGUAAUACGGAAGGUCCGGGCGUUAUCCGGACUUAUUGGGUUUAAAGGGAGCGUAGGCUGUCUAUUAUGCGUGUUGUGAAAUUUACCGGCUCAACCGGUGGCUUGCAGCGCGAACUGGUCGACUUGAGUAUGCAGGAAGUAGGCGGAAUUCAUGGUGUAGCGGUGAAAUGCUUAGAUAUCAUGACGAACUCCGAUUGCGCAGGCAGCUUACUGUAGCAUAACUGACGAUGAUGGUCGGAAGGGGGGGUGUCAAACAGG
rnacentral:rRNA from 1 species